rnacentral:rRNA from 1 species
AACGAACGCUGGCGGCAUGCCUAACACAUGCAAGUCGAACGAGAUCUUCGGGUCUAGUGGCGCACGGGUGCGUAACGCGUGGGAAUCUGCCCUUUGGUUCGGAAUAACAGUUGGAAACGACUGCUAAUACCGGAUGAUGACGAAAGUCCAAAGAUUUAUCGCCAGAGGAUGAGCCCGCGUAGGAUUAGCUAGUUGGUGUGGUAAAGGCGCACCAAGGCGACGAUCCUUAGCUGGUCUGAGAGGAUGAUCAGCCACACUGGGACUGAGACACGGCCCAGACUCCGAAGGGAGGCAGCAGUGGGGAAUAUUGGACAAUGGGCGAAAGCCUGAUCCAGCAAUGCCGCGUGAGUGAUUAAGGCCUUAGGGUUGUAAAGCUCUUUUACCCGGGAUGAUAAUGACAGUACCGGGAGAAUAAGCUCCGGCUAACUCCGUGCCAGCCGCCGCCGUAA